rnacentral:rRNA from 1 species
AACGAACGCUGGCGGCAGGCCUAACACAUGCAAGUCGAGCGCGCCCUUCGGGGUGAGCGGCGGACGGGUGAGUAACGCGUGGGAACGUGCCCUUCUCUGCGGAAUAGCCUCGGGAAACUGAGAGUAAUACCGCAUACGCCCUUUGGGGGAAAGAUUUAUCGGAGAAGGUUCGGCCCGCGUUGGAUUAGGUAGUUGGUGGGGUAAUGGCCCACCAAGCCGACGAUCCAUAGCUGGUUUGAGAGGAUGAUCAGCCACACUGGGACUGAGACACGGCCCAGACUCCUACGGGAGGCAGCAGUGGGGAAUCUUAGACAAUGGGGGCAACCCUGAUCUAGCCAUGCCGCGUGAGUGAUGAAGGCCUUAGGGUUGUAAAGCUCUUUCAGCUGGGAAGAUAAUGACGGUACCAGCAGAAGAAGCCCCGGCUAACUCCGUG